GAUGAACGCUGGCGGCGUGCCUAAUACAUGCAAGUCGAGCGAACGGACGAGAAGCUUGCUUCUCUGAUGUUAGCGGCGGACGGGUGAGUAACACGUGGAUAACCUACCUAUAAGACUGGGAUAACUUCGGGAAACCGGCGCUAAUACCGGAUAAUAUUUUGAACCGCAUGGUUCAAAAGUGAAAGACGGUCUUGCUGUCACUUAUAGAUGGAUCCGCGCUGCAUUAGCUAGUUGGUAAGGUAACGGCUUACCAAGGCAACGAUGCAUAGCCGACCUGAGAGGGUGAUCGGCCACACUGGAACGGAGACAGGGUCAAGACUCCUAAGGGAGGCAGCAGUAGGGAAUCUUCCGCAAUGGGCGAAAGCCUGACGGAGCAACGCCGCGUGAGUGAUGAAGGUCUUCGGAUCGUAAAACUCUGUUAUUAGGGAAGAACAUAUGUGUAAGUAACUGUGCACAUCUUGACGGUACCUAAUCAGAAAGCCACGGCUAACUACGUG
rnacentral:rRNA from 1 species